UACGAAGGGGGCUAGCGUUGUUCGGAAUUACUGGGCGUAAAGGGCGCGUAGGCGGCCAACUAAGUCGGACGUGAAAUCCCCGGGCUCAACCCGGGAACUGCGUCCGAUACUGGAUGGCUUGAAUCCGGGAGAGGGAUGUGGAAUUCCAGGUGUAGCGGUGAAAUGCGUAGAUAUCUGGAGGAACACCGGUGGCGAAGGCGGCAUCCUGGACCGGUAUUGACGCUGAGGCGCGAAAGCCAGGGGAGCAAACGGGG
rnacentral:rRNA from 1 species